rnacentral:rRNA from 1 species
UGACAAACCGGAGGAAGGUGGGGAUGACGUCAAAUCAUCAUGCCCCUUAUGAUUUGGGCUACACACGUGCUACAAUGGACAAUACAAAGGGCAGCGAAACCGCGAGGUCAAGCAAAUCCCAUAAAGUUGUUCUCAGUUCGGAUUGUAGUCUGCAACUCGACUACAUGAAGCUGGAAUCGCUAGUAAUCGUAGAUCAGCAUGCUACGGUGAAUACGUUCCCGGGUCUUGUACACACCGCCCGUCACACCACGAGAGUUUGUAACACCCGAAGCCGGUGGAGUAACCUUUUAGGAGCUAGCCGUCGAAGGUGGGACAAAUGAUUGGGGUGAAGUCGUAACAAGGUAGCCGUAUCGGAAGGUGCGGCUGGAUCACCUCCUUUCUAAGGA